AGUGAACGCUGGCGGUAGGCCUAACACAUGCAAGUCGAACGGCAGCACAGUAAGAGCUUGCUCUUACGGGUGGCGAGUGGCGGACGGGUGAGGAAUACAUCGGAAUCUACUUUUUCGUGGGGGAUAACGUAGGGAAACUUACGCUAAUACCGCAUACGACCUACGGGUGAAGGCAGGGGAUCUUCGGACCUUGCGCGAUUGAAUGAGCCGAUGUCGGAUUAGCUAGUUGGCGGGGUAAAGGCCCACCAAGGCGACGAUCCGUAGCUGGUCUGAGAGGAUGAUCAGCCACACUGGAACUGAGACACGGUCCAGACUCCUACGGGAGGCAGCAGUGGGGAAUAUUGGACAAUGGACGCAAGCCUGAUCCAGCCAUACCGCGUGGGUGAAGAAGGCCUUCGGGUUGUAAAGCCCUUUUGUUGGGAAAGAAAAGCAGCAGGUUAAUACCCCGCUGUUCUGACGGUACCCAAAGAAUAAGCACCGGCUAACUUCGUG
rnacentral:rRNA from 1 species